ACGCUAUCAUCAAGGCUCUGCUGACCACUGAGUCUGCCAUGAGGAAGAUGGAAGACAACAACACACUUGCGUUCACUGUGGAUGUUAAAGCCAACAAGCACCAGAUCAAACAGGCUGUGAGGAAGCUGUAUGACACUGAUGUGACCAAGGUCCACGCCCUGAUUCGGCCUGAUGGAGAGAAGGCAUGUGUUCCACUGGCUCCUGAUUACGAUGCUUUGGAUGUUGCCCACGAAACUGGGAUCAUCUAAACUGAGUCCAGCUGGCUAAUUCUAAAUACCUGUAUAUCUUUUCACCAUAAAAUAAAUAAAGAUG